UGGGGAAUAUUGGGCAAUGGGCGCAAGCCUGACCCAGCAACGCCGUGUGAGGGAAGAAGGUCCUCGGAUUGUAAACCUUUGUCUUAUGGGACGAUAAUGACGGUACCAUAGGAGGAAGUCACGACUAACUACGUGCCAGCAGUCGCGGUAAUACGUAGGUGACGAGCGUUAUCCGGAAUUAUUGGGUGUAAAGGGUGCGUAGGCGGGCUGUAAAGUCAGGCGUGAAAUGCAGGAGCUUAACUCCUGAACUGCGCUUGAAACUUACGGUCUUGAGUGAAGUAGAGGUAAGCGGAAUUCCUAGUGUAGCGGUGAAAUGCGUAGAUAUUAGGAGGAACACCAGUGGCGAAGGCGGCUUACUGGGCUUUUACUGACGCUGAGGCACGAAAGUGUGGGGAGCAAACAGG
rnacentral:rRNA from 2 species